rnacentral:sRNA from 1 species
GUGAAUGAAAUCACAAACAACCUUAUACCCCUUUGUUUGACCGUGAAAAAUUUCUCCCAUCCCCUUUGUUGUCUUAAUGACAAUAAAACGAAAAGAUCCGACUUUGGUCGGAUCUUUUCGUUU